rfam:Schistosoma rodhaini strain Burundi genome assembly, scaffold: SROB_scaffold0012484
GCACCGCUGAGGAGUCCCAUAAUAGGACGAAACGGACAUCCAGUGC